AAACAUUUAAAUAUAAAAUGCAGCAGACAAAUAAACAAAUACAUCAAUUAAAAAUUAUGUUGCUAAAUUAAAUAAAAAAAACAUCAUGUGGCAGCCAUAUGCAUUUCUAAUUGAAAAAGAAAAAAAAAAUAAAUAAAGCAACAAAAAAUGUGCAGGCCGUAGCUUUCUUCCUUCCAUGAAAUCAAAAGAAAUGCUAAUUAAAAAAAUAAAUAAAUAAAAAUAAAAAAAAUAAAGCCAUCAACGUAAAAUCACUUGCCACAUCUCACCUAUCAAUAUCUAUUCNACUCUUCAUUUUUCAAUAAAAGAAAAGAAAAAAAAACAAAAAAAAAAACUACACCUACAACUAUCUAACGUCCCAUCACCACCUACUUCCAUCUAAUCCACUUCUUACUAAAUAAAAGCUAAAGAAAUGCUAUUAUACCCUUGCAGCAGAAACAACAUGCCAAUUAAAAAGGAAAUGGACCGUGACCCUACUCACCACACUUUAAAACUAAAUUAAAGAAACAUUGCCUAGCUUGCUAUUUCCAAGGAAAUUGAAAAAUAAUUCUCAAAAGAAAAACUGAAUGAAAUGACCGUGUAGGNUUUCAAAAGAGAAUGAACGCAGCCCCUUUUCAUGGACGUGAUGCACCACCAAAUUAAUUACCAUUGNAGCAGCUGAACUUUAUCCAAUAAAUGAGUACCGCCUACUUCUUAUCAAAAGCAAAGAGAAAUAAAAUCAAUGCACUCACAGGCCGUGACUCCACACCAACGUUGCUUCAGUGCAUCAUUCUCCAAUUAAACUAAAUUAAAAACGUGAACCAGGCUUCAAUCCAACAGUGCGUGAAAACUAAUUGAAAAAUGAUCAGCGAACUUUGACAGCGUGAAGGAAAAAUGNUUAAGCCUANAAUCUCUCCAUUAGUUAGUGCAAAAAUGGAAAUGGCGUUUUCUCUUCAACCAAAAUCCAAGAUUAUCAUCAUGGUUCAAAGAAAAACUAUCCAA
rnacentral:lncRNA from 1 species